GUGAGGAAUAUUGGUCAAUGGGCGCAAGCCUGAACCAGCCAUGCCGCGUGCAGGAUGACUGCCCUAUGGGUUGUAAACUGCUUUUGUACGGGAAGAAACACUCCUACGUGUAGGAGCUUGACGGUACCGUAAGAAUAAGGAUCGGCUAACUCCGUGCCAGCAGCCGCGGUAAUACGGAGGAUCCAAGCGUUAUCCGGAAUCAUUGGGUUUAAAGGGUCCGUAGGCGGUUUUGUAAGUCAGUGGUGAAAUCCGGCAGCUUAACUGUCGAACUGCCAUUGAUACUGCAGGACUUGAAUUACUGUGAAGUAACUAGAAUAUGUAGUGUAGCGGUGAAAUGCUUAGAUAUUACAUGGAAUACCAAUUGCGAAGGCAGGUUACUAACAUUAUAUUGACGCUGAUGGACGAAAGCGUGGGUAGCGAACAGGAUUAGAAACCCGAGUAGUCC
rnacentral:rRNA from 1 species